UCCUCGAGUGGGUGAUGAGGGGAGAUGCCGUGGCCCGAGACCUGCUGUGGGGGGAGGGCAUCCAGAGCGACGCCAGGUUCA
rnacentral:ribozyme from 1 species